rnacentral:rRNA from 1 species
UACAGAGGGUGCAAGCGUUAAUCGGAAUUACUGGGCGUAAAGCGUGCGUAGACGGUUAUUUAAGUCAGGUGUGAAAGCCCCGGGCUCAACCUGGGAAUUGCAUUUGAGACUGAAUAGCUAGGGUGCGGAAGAGGGAAGCGGAAUUUCCGGUGUAGCGGUGAAAUGCGUAGAUAUCGGAAGGAACACCAGUGGCGAAAGCGGCUUCCUGGUCCAGCACCGACGUUCAGGCACGAAAGCGUGGGGAGCAAACGGG